AGUGAACGCUGGCGGUAGGCCUAACACAUGCAAGUCGAACGGCAGCACAGUAAGAGCUUGCUCUUACGGGUGGCGAGUGGCGGACGGGUGAGGAAUACAUCGGAAUCUACUUUUUCGUGGGGGAUAACGUAGGGAAACUUACGCUAAUACCGCAUACGACCUACGGGUGAAAGCAGGGGAUCUUCGGACCUUGCGCGAUUGAAUGAGCCGAUGUCGGAUUAGCUAGUUGGCGGGGUAAAGGCCCACCAAGGCGACGAUCCGUAGCUGGUCUGAGAGGAUGAUCAGCCACACUGGAACUGAGACACGGUCCAGGCUCCUGCGGGAGGCAGCAGUGGGGAAUAUUGGACAAUGGGCGCAAGCCUGAUCCAGCCAUACCGCGUGGGUGAAGAAGGCCUUCGGGUUGUAAAGCCCUUUUGUUGGGAAAGAAAAGCAGCAGGUUAAUACCCCGCUGUUCUGACGGUACCCAAAGAAUAAGCACCGGCUAACUUCGUG
rnacentral:rRNA from 1 species